rnacentral:rRNA from 1 species
CCUACGGGUGGCAGCAGUGGGGAAUAUUGCACAAUGGGGGAAACUCUGAUGCAGCGACGCCGCGUGAGUGAAGAAGGAUUUCGGUAUUGAAAGCUCCUUCAGCAUGGAAGAAAAUGACGGUACCUGACCAAGAAGUCCCGUCUAACUACGGGCCAGCAGCCGCCGUAAUACGUAGGGGCCAAGCGUUAGCCGGAUUUACUGGGUGGAAAGGGAGCGUAGACGGGGGGUCAAGUCUGGAGUGAAAGGCGGGGGCUCAACCGCCGGACUGCAGUGGAAACUGCCAGGCUGGAGUGCAGGAGCGGAAAGUGGAAUUCAGAGUGUAGCGGUGAAAUGCGUAGAUAUUAGGAGGAACACCAGUGGCGAAGGCGGCUGACUGGACUGUAACUGACGUUGAGGCUCGAAAGCGUGGGGAGCAAACAGGAUUAGAUACCCCAGUAGUC